AUGUUGGUGCACAACAUUUUAUGGGAAAAACAAAACAAGAAGAAAGUGGAGGAGGUGCUAGAAGAGGAAUAUGUGGUGGAAAAAGUUCUCGACCGUCGAGUGGUAAAGGGCAAAGUGGAGUACCUCCUAAAGUGGAAGGGUUUCUCGGAUGAGGACAACACGUGGGAGCCAGAAGAGAACCUGGAUUGCCCUGACCUCAUUGCUGAGUUUCUGCAGUCACAGAAAACAGCACAUUAGACAGAUAAAUCAGAAGGAGGCAAGCGCAAAGCUGAUUCUGAUUCUGAAGAUAAGGGAGAAGAGAGCAAAUGAAAGAAGAAAAAAGAAGAGUCAGAAAAGCCACGAGGUUUUGCUCGGGGUUUGGAGCCGGAGCGGAUUAUUGGAGCUACAGACUCCAGUGGAGAGCUCAUGUUUCUGAUGAAAUGGAAAAAUUCUGAUGAGGCUGACCUGGUCCCUGCCAAGGAAGCCAAUGUCAAGUGCCCACAGGUUGUUAUAUCCUUCUAUGAGGAAAGGCUGACGUGGCAUUCCUACCCCUCGGAGGAUGAUGACAAAAAAGAUGACAAGAAUUAACUCUCCUGAGUACCAGCCCCUGUCACAUCUGACUGUGGGUUUCAAGUGGGGAGGGAAGGAGUUUUACUUGUCUUGACACCAUAGAGGUGGCUUGAGAAGAUGUCCUUUGAAGAGCCAGUAUAGUUUCUGUGCCCUGCAGCAGCCCAAAGUGCUUUAACGCCGUUCAAGCUGUAUAGUUUGCACACCAAUCCCAGUGGAGAGGAAGGGGGAUAAGUGUUUCAAGGCAGCCCAUUCUGCUCUUUGUUGAGAAAAGCAAAGGGCCUUCUGUGAAGGACAAAACUUGUAGAAUUGGGUGUGUGGGAGAACAAAAAGAUACUGUAGAUCUUCAAAGAGCAUCUCCACAACCCACAGCCUUCUUCCCAAUAGUGUUAACUCUGCAUUUUUACAGCGUAGCAUGUGUGUAGUUUUUGGCUAUUACUGGUGUAUUAUUUGGGGGUGGGAGGGAUGGGAUGGGAAAGAAGGGAGAUAAGUAGGAUCAUUUUGGUUAAAAUUUAGGGCCUGAUUGGGGAAAUGGUGAAAUAAUGGAAAGAACAGACAACUAAUGAUUUGCUUCUAUGUCCAUAAUAUUUUACCUUUUCAAAAAAUGUCAUUGACACCACGAAUGAGGACUAUGAGAGACUGUUUAAAAGCUGUGAAUGCCUGAAACCUAUAAGCCAAGGUGUUCCCUGCCUGAGCUUAAUACUGUUCCCCACAAAGUACUAAGCCAGCUCAUAAGUUACCAAAGCUGCCAUUUUGGAGAUGGAAACUGAUUAAGGGGAAAUCUUGUAUUGGAGAGUAUACAUUGGCAGAUCAUUCUGUCCUAGAGGUGCUAAUUCCUGAAAUUAAACAAGACGACCCUUUCUUUUCCAGGUAUGAAGUUAUAAAUAGCUUGUUCAUCCAAGCCACUGGCUGAGGUGUUGGGGAAGAGGGUGGUACAGGAGAUGGAAGAGUGAGCAGGGAAGAUGAGGGCCCAUGCUCUUAGGGCAGAGAACUCUUGGAGCCUCUCUGUUGUGUUUUUUUUUUUUUUCUUU